GCCCGGCUGAGGAGGAGCCAGAGAGGCGGCAGCGGCAGCCAGGCCUCCGCCUCCUCUCGCCUUCAGGCAGCCGCGUCGAGAUUGGGCCUUCGCCUCCGCGCCUCAUUCUGGAGCCUCACCUCCAGCUCAGAUUCAACAGACAAGAGUUGUUUCUCUCACCAUGGAUAUAUAAACCCCACUUGCCACUUUCCAACAGGCCUCACAAACUCUGAGGAUGCCUGCCACAGAUGUGGGCGAAACGUCAGGAGAGAAUGCUGCUGGAACAUGGCCAGACACCCAACCUGGACAUUAUUCCACAGGUAUAUAUAAACCCCACUUUGCCUAGCUUCUAACAGACCUCACAACCUCUGAGGAUGCCUGCCACAGAUGUGGGCGAAACGCCAGGAGAGAAUGCUGCUGGAACAUGGCCAGACACCCAAACUGGACAUUAUUCCACAGGUAUAUAUAAACCCCACUUGCCUAGCUUCUAACAGACCUCCCAACCUCUGAGGAUACCUGCCACAGAUGUGGGUAAAACGUCAGGAGAGAAUGCUGCUGGAACACGGCCAGACAGCCCAGGUAACUCAAUAGCAACUCAAAUCUUAAAUCAAUCCCAGAAGAAGACUUUUCCGAGAUUUUGGAAUGGUAUAAACCUAAGACCUUCCCCACCUCAUCCCACGACUCAGACAAUAAUAAUAAUAAUAAUAAUAAUCAUCAUCAUCAUCAUCAUCAUCCUAGACACUUGGAAAGUGUCCGGCGUGUGAUCCAAUAUAACAGCUAGCAGAGUGUCUGCUGUGGACUCAUCUUGUUGCAUUUCAAAUAAUAAUAAUAAUAAUAAUAAUAAUAAUAAUAAUAAUAAUAAUAAUCACGAUCUGCCAACUGCAAAAGGCCACCCUACUGGGAUCUGCACACAUCAUGCAAAAAUACAUCACACAGUCCUAGAUACUUGGGAAGUGUUCGACUUGUGAUUUUGUGAUACGAAAUCCAGCAUGUCUAUCUUGUUUGCUGUGUCAUACAAUAAAAUAAUAAUAAUAACUAUAUUUUUAUAUCCCGCCACCAUCUCCCUGCAAGGACUCGGGGUGACUCACAUGGGGCCAAGCCCAACAACACAAUUAAAACAGAGUAGACAAAAACGUAAUGUACAAUUCACAGUACAACAUAGGUAAAACAACAGUACAAUAUAAAACGAAGUAUUAUAAGAGUGGUUUAUAAUAUCAACCAACCAUCAGGCACCAUUUCUAUCAUCUUGCAACAAUGCCUGGCAAUGGUUUCAGCCAAUUACCUUUCCCUGCAUUCAACGCAAGCUCUCCAAUUCCCAUUGCUUCUAAUUAGCUCGAGCUUGUUUCCCUCUAAUCCGUACCCAACAAACUUCUGUGCGCACAUAAAGCAGGCAGCGCGGUGAGAUGGAUGGGGACUUGUGGCCUCCUAUUUAGGUCACCUUUGCAUGUGGAACUAGGCUUGGACGAGCAAUAGUCUAACUUGCAACCCGCCAAACUGAACACAAUCCCAACAUCCGUGGAUUGGGUCCACGUUUUCAUGGGCAAAACUCUUGCCACAUCCAUACUGUAAAUGUGUCAAGGUGGGAAAGUCCUAUGUUAAAAUAAAAAACUUGAUUAAAAUAUGCUCUUUCGAUUUUUUUUAAUGCAAUAUCUCCCGUAAUAAUUUUUUUUUUACUUCACUUCAAAGCACAUUGCUAUAUAUGUCCACAAAGUAGGCCAUACGUUUCCGCACAAAGGAGAUCCCAAUUGGUAGUUCUCAUCCAAUCUAGCAGAGUUGCACAGCGGAAGCGUGCUGGGCUGGGCCCAUAACCACUGUCAGAGUGCGUUUUGAAUAAGCACACAUGCAGCAGAAGAUCCACGUAGGAGCACUGGUACCAAUAACGAGGCUGGAGACUUCAGCUAUCUAUAAAAAGGUUUACUUACAAACGGAAAUCUCUCACAAGACGAUAUACAUACAGACAGAGUGCAGAGAGUAGAUAACUAGAGAGAAAGAGACAGGAAGCAGAAGGCUAUAUAUCAACACCUCUGCUGUAUGAUGCAAUACUCAGUUAACUCUUUACACACUUGCAUAGUGGACAGCAGACAGUGCAUGAUGCAAUCUCCAGCUCACAUUGCAUCACUAUAACUCAAUUACAUUUAAACAAAACUCUAUAUACAAUCAUUCCCACUUCAACAAAACAUAGGAUCUCAAUGAGCUAGAACAGGCCCUCCGGGUGUUUUGGACAUCAACUCCCACAAUCCCUAACAGCUUACCGGCAUAUAACAGAAUUGGAAGGACAAUAGGUGUACAAGCAAGCAUCUUGUUUAUAGGGCCGGGCUGCGGCGUGGCUGGUUAGUAGCCAGCUACAAUAAAUUACUAGUGACCAAGAGGUCAUGAGUUUGAAACCCGGGUCGGAUUGAGCUCCCGACCAUUGAUAGCCUAGCUCGCUGCUGACCUAAGCAGCUCAAAAGACAGUUGCGUCUCUCGAGUAGAAAAUGUAGGUACCACUUUAUGCGGGGAGGUUAAUUUAACUACCGUAUAUCAUCGAGUAUAAGCCGACCCGACUAUAAGCCAAGACACCUAAUUUUACUACAUAAAAACUGGGAAAACAUUGACUCCAGUAUAAGCCGAGGGUGGUAAAUUUCAGAAAUAAAAAUAGAUCCCAAUAAAAUGACAUUAAUUGAGGCAUCAGUAGGUUAAAUGUUUUUGAAUAUUUACAUCAAGUUCAAAUUUAAGAUAAGACUGUCCAACUCUGAUCACAUCAUUAUGAUAAAGAUGACCCAGAUUGUUAUAUGGAUAAAGUUGGAGGAUAUUGGACGAACGGAUUUUAAGCAUAUGUUUUAUGUUUUAUAUUUUAUACUGUAUUUAAUUGGUUGUAAUAUAUUUUAUAUGUUGUUGUUUUUAAUGAUGUAUCGGCAUCGAAUUGUUGCCAAUUGUACGCUGCCCUGAGUUCCUCCGGGUGAGAAGGGCGGGAUAGAAAUAUUUGAAAUAAAUAAAUAAAUAAAUAAAUUAUUCUCAUCUUC